rnacentral:lncRNA from 1 species
AUUGUAUUGUUCCUUUGAACAUUUCACUAAAAUGAUGGUAAUGUGUGAAGGAACAAUACGAUCAAAAAUACUAAUAAUUGAAAUAAUUUGUCUAUCAAAACAUGUAGUAUAAAACAAUGUGAGUGAAUUACUUACCGAAAUUUUUAUUUCAAUUUAAAAAAAAGAUGCUUCGAGUGAAUAAAUAAUUUUUCAAUAAAAAAGAUCAUUUUUAAAUAUAAAUAUUGAAAUUUAGCGUGAUCCGUUCUGACCAUAAUCAUAACUUUAACAUAUGCGGAUAUCGAAUGCAUUAAUUUAUGUUUUCUUUAAAAAAUGGAAUUUCACUCUUUCCUAACCCAUCCUCAGUGUUUUUCCCUUGUUGUUUGAUUUUAAUUUUCAGUGAAUACGAUAAAAUUACGAUUGGAUCGAGAUAUAUCGAUUGUGCGGGCCAAAUCGGAAUUUUAUAUUACUGGCUCGAUAGCUGUUCCAAGGUACUUGAGUUUUCUUUUAGCAUAAGGCAUAUCUUGUUGGAAGGAGAUAUUUGUUAGUUGAGCUGAAAAUAUUGCACUGUAGAUUGUGCUCUAAUGCUCUGUUACUUAAUGCGUAAAUUCCAUGGAUAUAUGAAGAGCAUAGGGGAUUAUUUUAAUAUUAACUAGUUUCAAUUCAGUCGAUGACAAAUUUUAAUGUAUGCCAAUAAGUAAGAGGACGAAAUUUUCUGAAACUAUGCCUUCAUAUCUUUCAAAUUAAAUAAGUAAUAAAAUUUAUUACUUAAUUUUUCUGAAAAUUUCGGUGCGAUGGAACUAGAACAACAAUCAUAUUUAUUGAUGGCAUAUUAUCAUUAAACGGCUUUCUCGGUUUUCUUCUAAAAUAUAAAUGAUAUCUAAUCAAAAAAUUUUAAUAUAUAGGCCUAUAAUAAAGCUAAGUGCAGUACUAAGAUAUUAGACUCUUUCAUAUAAGUUAGAUGUACUUACUUGAUUGACAAUUCAAAGCGCUAACAUCAUGGAAUAGUUGCUCCUUAAAUUAUGUUAAAUAUUCUAAUAUCUUAGUACUGUAUUUUGUUUAUAUGCUACUAGUUAGAUAUAACUAUGUUCAAUAGCCUAUGGAAAUGAGGAAAGAAACUAACUAAAUUGAUAUUAGUUGUAAAGAUCCGACAAAGGGGUGACUCGAGUUUACCUUAAUCAAUAAUUUAGCCUUAAUUUAGAAUAAGAUCGCCUGAUUAAGCGGCACAGGGAUCCGAGUGUGAAAGAUUGACUCAUAACUUGUUAAAAAGCAAAAGCGUUAACAAGUUUUAGUAUUGUUUAUUUAUAAACAAUACUAAAGACCUAACCAAUACCUCAAAUAUGACAAAAUAACAAAAGUAAUAUUACAAGAACAGAGAUCUAUCACCGAGAUAUGAAACGAAAGUGACAGUUCAAAAAAGACCAAAAGGUGAUCGAAAUACUCGAAACACCUUCACCUGAAAAUAGAGUCACAGAAUUCUGUCUUCACACGUCGUAUUAGAAAAGGCUUCACUCUGAUAGCAAGUAAUAACGGAUAUUCGUUCAUAGUUCAAUUCCUUUUAUCCGAAAUGCCGAUUUCCUCUAACUUAAGUGGAUUUGAAUAAUAGUUCCUUUUUCAGCCCUUUUUUGUCAGAAUUCUGCUGAUUUUAUCUUCAAUUAUUCUUCAGUUGAUAUAAUAUUUAACUUGUUUCUUACAUCUUUAAUUAGUAGUCUUUUUUCUUGUUUUUCUACCUUCUUUACCUGCCCUAACUUUAACGAUUAGUCGACGUCGGAUUCCCCGAACAGGAACGAGGCCAUGGGAACCAGCGAUGACCAACAGUUCGAAACUUGUGGACCAAGAACUCAUCCGAGAACGUCUUCUACCAGCAAUUGAAGACUUUUAUACUUCACUUUGGCGGAUAAUCGUGAUUCAUCGUUGACUGUGAGGCGAGGAACAGAAGUUUAGAAAAGAGGUUCUUCAUCCGCGGACAUUCUUCCGUUUUUGUUGAAAUUUCUACUACUAUGUUUCAUUUUACAAUUUUUUUCCAAAUGUGGCGAAAAUAAUUAAAUAUUUUUAAAAACGAAUUUUUAAAAUAAAAUAUGAUGGUUCAGAUCUCAAAUGAGAGAAUUU